rnacentral:rRNA from 1 species
AGUGAACGCUGGCGGUAGGCCUAACACAUGCAAGUCGAACGGCAGCACAGUAAGAGCUUGCUCUUACGGGUGGCGAGUGGCGGACGGGUGAGGAAUACAUCGGAAUCUACUUUUUCGUGGGGGAUAACGUAGGGAAACUUACGCUAAUACCGCAUACGACCUACGGGUGAAAGCAGGGGAUCUUCGGACCUUGCGCGAUUGAAUGAGCCGAUGUCGGAUUAGCUAGUUGGUGGGGUAAAGGCCCACCAAGGCGACGAUCCGUAGCUGGUCUGAGAGGAUGAUCGGCCACACUGGAACUGAGACACGGUCCAGACUCCUACGGGAGGCAGCAGUGGGGAAUAUUGGACAAUGGGCGCAAGCCUGAUCCAGCCAUACCGCGUGGGUGAAGAAGGCCUUCGGGUUGUAAAGCCCUUUUGUUGGGAAAGAAAAGCAGCAGGUUAAUACGCCGCUGUUCUGACGGUACCCAAAGAAUAAGCACCGGCUAACUUCGUG